AAAAAAAAGAUAAGCUGGAGUUGGAAAUAAGUUGCAGAGUGUUCAGAUGUUCUACUAUGCUUCCUUCUAUGUGAGUUCAUGCCAGUCUCAACAGGCUAUAUGACAGAUCGCAGUUCAACAAAUUUCGCAAGGUACAACACACGAGUAAGGGGAGGGAGUAAGACUACAAAUGAUCAGCACCCCGACAAGAAUGAAGUCUGCAGCGGGUUAGGGACUGUGGAAGAGCCACAUAUGAUCAUUACUGACUCAUACAGUUAUACAUUAGGGACUGUAUAAGAGCCACAUGAUCAUUACUGAUCAUAAAGUUAUACAUUAUCAUGUACUCGCUAUUUUUGAGUUUGUUUUAACUUUUUAGGUGAACAUCUAACACAUUGGAAAUGAGAAACAUGUAGUCGAUGUAAGUCAGUUGCAGAUUAUAUGUACUGAUGCAUAUGCAUAAAGAUAGCAUGUGCAAGGCACAUGCCUCAUAGUUCCUGCAGAUUUCUAUAUGGAUUAGAACAUCCCUAGUAGUAGUUUCUAUUUACUUAGCUUUCUAGUUUAGUUAGGAUUAAGUUUAGGCUAUUAUAAAUAGGGGAUUACAAACCUUAUUGAAGAGGUGAGAUUGAAGAUUUGUUUAUGUCUUGAGACAUUAAAUUCGUUUUUGUGAAGAACCCUAGUUUUUGGGUGUUCAAACCAUUUAUUUAAUUGGUGUUCUUAUUAUUGUUUGCUUCCGCCGAUAAUAUUACAUCAAAAUUGGUAUCAAGAGCUUGUUUUUUCUGGGUUUAGAAGAUAAAAACCUGAUUUUUUUUACAAGAGUCGCGUUCAAGUUGGUGAUUUGAAGAUGGGUUAUCGUAGAAGAGGUCAAAGAGAGUUUUCGCCCCCGUCGGAUCGUUGGAGUUUACAAGAAUCGAAGCGUUAUACCGAUUCUGAAUAUAAAACUCCCAACUUUGAUCCUAGCCGCCGCUUUCCUCUUUCCAGAAGGUAUGAACCUCCCUCUUCCUCUCGUUCCCCUUCUCCCCCACGCAGGCGACGUCAUAGUUAUUAUGACGAUGGAUAUUAUUCCCACCACCAGCAAGACACGCACCCUCCUCGAUGUGGUUUUCAGCAACAAUAUGUUGUUUAUGGUGCUAAAUAUUCCCAUGGAAACCGUCCAAAGACUUAUGAUCACGAUGGUCUUCGUAGUCGCAAUUCUAAGGUUACUUCGUAUGGAGAUUACCCAUACUAUAUUGAAUCUGAAAUCGAUUCUAGGAACGAUGACUCCAUGAUUGAUUAUGAAGAAGAUGAGUUUUCUGACGAGGAAAGUUGUUAUGAUAAUGAUUCUUUGUGUGUUGAAUAUUCUGAUGAUGAAACUAGUGCAGAAUUUGAGUUUGGUAAUGCUCCCAUUAUGAAGAGUUUGGUUGCAGUCCUUGCACCGUCAAACCUCUACACUUCCACCUCAAUUGUUCACCCAUCACAAGUCUCUAACAGCAACAACCAGCAGAUUUUAUUGCUGCAGUAGGCUCAUUAUCCGGAUGAUGUCUUCAUAACAUCACCAAGCAUACAACAAGGUUUGAAGGAACUUUUAAAUUGUUUUACUAAAUUAAAAACUCAAUUUGCGACUUUUAAGGAAGAAUUUGUUGAAGAAGAGAAACGACUUGACAAAGAAGCGGAGAUUAAUUUCUUACUCAACAUGUUUGAAGAAGAAAAAUACGUCACUCGUACUCGAAUUGGUGGUUUACAAAGUUACAAUCUUGUUGAUUUCUUUUCCAUUUUUGGUGAUGAUAGUGAUGAUACAUCUAGUUUUGUGUCUCUUGAGUUAAAAGUUGCAUGUGUGGAUCAAGUAGAAGAUUUGAUUGAAAAAUCUGCAAGGGAGAUAAAUAAGAAGUUCUAUUUGUUGCCCAAGCAAGGAAACCUGGUUGUUGUCCAUGACAAUGGUAAAGAGGAUGAACGUUCUCGGAAUUUCGCUCAUCACUCCCAUGAAUCGAUGAAUUCCAUUGAUUCCGACCGACAAAUUGAUGAUUUUUAUCAUCCCCACAAAUUCCGUCCCAUAAAAGUAAUUGGUAAUUUGUUUGGUGGUUAUGUUGAUCCUUAUCUAUUCCAAGAUGAGAAUGGAUUUUCUCUAUGGAGGGACAAACACCUUCAAUUCUUAUUUCUUGACAUGCGGCUAUAUUGUUCCAAUCAAUUGGGUUGUCCUAAUGAUGCACCUAUGACAUUAAUGUCCAUAAUUGUUUCUGCGAGCAACUAUCUGGGGAAGAUUCAUGGUCGGAUUUUCUGCACCAACGUAAGGUUGAGGUUGAUGUACAAGAGUCGUUUUGAACUUUGGAGGAUGUUAGUACACAAACUCGAGGACGAGUUUUUUUCAAGUUGGGGGGAUUUGAUGCAUAUGUAUAAAGAUAGCAUGUGCAAGGCACAUGCCUCAUAGUUCCUGCAGAUAACUAUAUGGAUUAAAACAUCCCUAGUAGUAGUUUCUAUUUACUUAGCUUUCUAGUUUAGUUAGGAUUAGGUUUAGGCUAUUAUAAAUAGGGGAUUGCAAACCUUAUUGAGGAGGUGAGAUUGAAGAUUUGUUUAUGUCUUGAGACAUUAAAUUCGUUUUUGUGAAGAACCCUAGUUUUUGGGUGUUCAAACCAUUUAUUUAAUUGGUGUUCUUAUUAUUGUUUGCUUCCGCCGAUAAUAUUACAUCAUGUACUCACUAUUUUUUAUAUUGCACCUUUAAGCCCAUACUUUAUAUCAUCAGCAAGUAUUAAAUUGAGCGUUGAUUACUUGAUAGCCCAUUCAUGAAAUUUUAAUUCGACUUUCGGAGAAUUUUAAAUGACAUUGACAUACUAUGUUAGUGAAUUGAAUACUAGCAAUGUACACUAUAGAAGGAGUGCCAGGUCUGAAUCAAUCUUGGCUGCCAAUUUCGUUCCUUGCUAAACCUACUUUUACUUCUUAUUAGUAUGUUUAAUUUUUUAGUUAAAUUUAAAUAAAAAUUCCAUUAAACAAACAAACUACGAAUUUAUUGCUUCGUGGACAACAUUUUCUUGCAAUUAAAAUCAUUGUGCAUCUCCUUCUCCUGCACUAAUGGUGCAUUAUCCAUCUCCUUUUUCUCCUCUAAUGAUGCAUUGCCAUAGUAGCACAGUCCGGGCGUAGCCCGGGCCUUACCUGCUAGUAAUACUUAUGUUGAUAGCAAGAAAGGUUUGCAUAGAAAAGUAAAGGUAAAUUGAAAGGGGUAGUUAACAGAAAGAAAAAGAAAAAAGAGUUUCUAAAAGUGAAAUCUUUCAAAUAAAACUACUUGUGCAUAGUGAAAACACAAAGAAAUACCUUCGCAGGCUUAAAUAGUGUCUAAUACUACUAACGCACCGAAGGUUGGUGAAAAAUAUACUAGCUUAUUGAUACAUGUGUAUCUUUGGCAUGUUCCGAUUGCACACCGGACAAAGGUCACUAUCUGUAUAUAGAGGGAUCAUCAAUCGAUAACGAAGAAUGACACGGUAUUCGAUAGGCGUCAUGCGUUGUCCAAGCCCCUCCAUCUGAUAGCAAGGAGAAAAUCCUUGGCAUGUUCCGACUGCACACAUUAAAUCACGGUCUUCUGUCUAGCUGACAACUCAAAUUCCCUCGCAAGACCAAAACUAAUCUUGUUGUAAUAUGUUUCCACCAAGACAUGUUGGGGUCUGAAGGGGACGGUAGCAGUUAGAACAAGAUUAUUGAGAUCAAAAUAAGGCAUAGAAAGAUGUAAACUAGCAAUGGCAUUAUCAAAAAUAUUACCCAUAGGUGCAAACUCACAACCUCAAAGAAUGUGGUCUUGAAAAUCCUUGGCUUGAGUACGUGAAGCUACGAAAGCAAACUUUAUAAUAUCAGUGGCACAAUAGAUACCAAGUCCACUCAAGCGUAAUAGAAGGAUUGCUAUACGCCAAUGUAAAUGGCCAAAACUAGACCCAUCAGAAACCACAAUAUUCUGAAGGGCUGCACGAAGCUUGCGGGCGAACCAUUCGACUGUUUCCUGAACAUAAUCUGGAGAGCAAGUACGAAGAGCAAAAGUGAGUUUAGAUAAUCCCAUACAAGAACGUAAAAGUGUCAACUCACAUUGUUGAUCCUUUAGUUGUGGUAAUAGAUUCAUAACAUGAAGUGUCUUAUCCACUCGGUGACGAACAUUACCCACAAUAAAGGAUGCAUCAAUACUUACAGGCCCUCUAAACAACUUAGCCCCUUACCGAAGACAUGAUAUACCAGCCGAAAAUAUAGUCUUCCCAGAGUUAAUUUUUACCUUUGUCCUCUACUGUUUCUAACAUAAACAACAGACAUAAAAUAACUUCUCUUAGCAAUGCUAUCAAACAAUUUCGCAUAUAUGAAUUGAUCUAAGGAGGCCACCACAUUCACUUGAAAGCAUGUAGGGUCUCAUAAGAUCCAGAUUCUGCCCCUGGGUCCUUGUCUCCAUUGUUAACACACUGCCAGUGUGGUAACAUGUUGUUUUGUACAUACGCAUACUUGUAACUUUAGAUCUUAGUUUCAACUAAACCAAUGAAACUAAGCCUUAUAGUUCUUCAACUAAAUACCUGACUUCUGCCCCUUUUGUAAGGUAUUCAAUCCUCUAAUGUUCCAAACACCUAGUUUGUUUGUUGUCAUAUUUAAACUACUGAUGUUUGUAACCUUAGUACUUCCCCUCUUCAUUUUCAAUUAGAUUUGAACCAAAUCAAGGGAUUUCUCUGGCCAUCAAACUGUUGUUUAGAGGUACGCUUGCCUCCACCUACUCCAUGGUCAAGUGUUUUAUCCUUUCCUUUUGAGGCUAGUUUCUUUUUUCCUUUCCCUUGUUGCUAAUCUGUGCCAAACUUGGAUUUUCGGCUAAGGUUAGUUUCUUUUGUUCAGCUUUGUUUCUUUCCCAUAUUGAUAAGUCUUCAAAAGUGUAUUUAUCCCCCGAAUAACACCUUGUCUGUCUAGCACUUAGCUUGUAUUAUUGUGUUAUAUCUGUUGAUUAGUGCUUUCUUGUCUAUUGUGUAGGUUUCAUGAGCCGAAAAUGCGAAUAUUAUGUUAAAACCCGCCAAAAAUCAAGAAAAGCAACCAAAAAAGUGUUAUUUGCAAUAAAGAAGGAGAAUUAAUAUUUGUACCCACAGAUCUGCUGAGGGCACCCCACAGUCAGUCCUGUUGAUUUGACUUUAUGUCAAAGUUGGCCGGUCCGAAUCUCAGCCCAAACCGGGUCCUAUUGAAGCCCACAAAUCAGAAUUUCUAUUUUAGGCCUUAUUUAAAGUCCAAACUUAAAAAGGCUCUACAAGGAGAUCCAGACGUCUGAUUUGGGCCCAUGAGCUAUCAAACUGAAGGUCUUGGUCCAGGGUACAACUUAAGCCCAAAAUAAUUAGGUUUUGUUGAAGACCUAAUGCCUCUAUAAGACCAACAGAAGCAGCCACGAAUUUGACCUAAUUUGGAAGUCUUUGUAUGCAAGUAUUAUUCUUUGUAUUUUCUAUACAAGAGAAGUAGUAGCUAAGGUUUAGGUAUCUUUGAAGAGAGAGGAAAGUGAAUAUUUGUGAGAGAAAAGUUCAUUUUUUUCUUCUUCUUUAUAUCAAAUUAAAUUAUCAAUAUCAAUCCAUAUCUUUUCCAUUAUGAUGUCUUGUGAUUUAUUUAUUUAUUCCAUGGUGUCGUCAUCAACGAGGAGUAGCUAAACCUCCUUAGGGUGAUGGUUGAAGCACUCUAGAUAAUGCAAAGCACCAUGUUUGUUUUUAAUAUUCAUUGUGAUUCAAAGUACUUAAUGCUUAUUUACUUCUAACUGCAGUAUGAGGUAAGUAUGAUUAUUUGCAUGUUAUUCUUAUCCAUGUUAUUAAAAUAUUAUUGUUAGGGUUUAGGGAGACCUAGCUUUAAUGGUUUUAUUUAUAUUAAUUAAAGAUGUAUAGUGAAAUAGCUGAGAGAUGAUUAUUACAUAUCUGCAGUUGAUAUCUUUUAUUGGAACCCUUUUUGUAAUUAAGUCAAAUAACUGAGAGGUGAUGAUUUAGUUAUUAAUAAUAUGUUGAGUUAAUUAAAUUGAAUAGCUGAGAGGUGACGGUUUGAUUAAUAAGACAUAUUCAAUAGCAUGCAUAAGAGAAUCCUGUUUUAAUUGAGUGGAAUAGCUGAGAGGUGACUACUUGAUUAUUAUAGGUAUUAGUGAUUAGUUGGAAUAACUGAGAGGUGACUAAUUAAUUAUUAUAGAUUGAACAUGAAGGAACAACAUGUUAUGUUCACAUGAUUUAAUUUGUGGAUACCAAUUUUUCCCCCUUUGUCAUCAUAUAUCUACUUUAUAUCUCUUCCAUAUUUUUAAGUUAGGGUUUACUUAUUAUUAUUGUCUGUAGGAAGUUAGAAUCAAUCUCAAAUCUUGUUUGUUGAUUCCCUUGGUGUUUCUUAACCAUUGUUUUCUAUUGUGUUUGAGCUAAUAUCUCCCCCUCUGAGGUGGGUACGACCCUUGCUUGUAACUUAUCUACUUUGAUAACCAAUUUAUACAGGCACAAGAAGAAAAAUGAAAUACAAAUACAUCUUUUGAUUAGUGUAGCCAAAAAUUACACUAUCAAAAUGGCGUCGUUGCCGCUCUAAGGAACGGAGUUCAUUCAAACACAAGCGAGAAUAGUUGUUUCGGGACAUCAUCCCACUUCUAUCCCUCCCACCCUUCUAUUUUUAAUUCUUUUUAUUAUUGUUUUUAAGUGUCUUGUUACUUAGUCCUCUUAUUGAUCUUGCAGCUAAGACGGAUUGAAAAAAGCUUGAAAAACGGAGUAAAGAUUAAAUUUUUAAGAAAAGUGCGCAUUCAGGAAAUUUUCCUGAAGUUUACCGGUUGAUACUGGGCCCGAUCUCGAGUCGAGUUCAAAUUGGCCUGUAAGCAUCUCGAGUCGAGUUCCAGGCAGGGAAUUUGCCUCGUUUUGCGUGAUUUUUUCAGAGCAUUCCAGAACUCUUUUUCAGCUAAUUUAUUUUUCCUGUUGAGAGAUUGUGAGGUGAACUAAGUAGUCUAUUUUUUUCAGCAUUUUUAAAGACUUGUAAGAUAUUUAAUUAUUCGAUCCACGAAAAGGUCGCGGUUGUAAUAUUCUUAAAGUAGGUGUUGUUAGGAUUUAUUUUAUUAUGUGUUUGCGGUGGAUAGUAGAGCAUGGUUGUGGAGCUAGCCUUAGUUCUACUAAGGAACGACUCCUUAGGACGAUUGAAACCAAAUGAGCGAUUUCCCCUUAGUCGACUUCAACUUGUCUUCUCCCCACUUUUGUGCGCUUGUUUGGCACUUUUAUUUUUUAGCACAAAGUGGGAGGUAAGAAUUCUCCUAACCCUCCUCGAAUCCCCUGCAAGAGGAGUUCUGUAUUGAUUAGCAUGACCAUGAUUGUUGCUUGAUUUCAAUUUUGUUUUUACUUAUUAAACCGAGACUGCAAGGCGGACCUGGCCUAAAAGUGAAACCUCAUGUUAAUUGAUUGCAAUACCUAAGCUUUAAAAUUGAAUCAACUAAAGUCAUGCUAUCACGAUGUUAGGAAUCGAGUAGAUAUUUCAACUAAUACUGCGUGAACCAUCCUUUGAUUGGAGCACAAGUUAGGAAUUGGGUCUGAAAAACCUCCCACACUGGUUAUUCGCUGCUUGACUCACGAAAUAUAGGGAGAAUUCACAAGGGAAGCUUGGAAAGAACUCAUUGACUUGGGUGAACAAAAAAUUGAGUCAGUUUUUGAACCCCUUGUUAGAUGCUUUUGAAUGGUUAGGACUUCUGUGACAUUUGUAAUGCGCAUGUUGCAUGCAUCUUAGAUCAGGUAAAAUGUUGUCCAAACCAACUCCAAUCUACACAAAGAGCACAAUCACGGACCUCACUCCUUCUCUUGAGGAAGAGUUUAACUUUUCAACCUCCAUACCUUCUGAAGAAGAGUUCAACGACUCGACUUCACUUUCUGAAGUAACACCUGCCCCUAUGGCUCAAGAAGCUACCCUUCGGGAUUACUUUUCACCUUUGGCCACUGGGUCACCUACCUGCAUACUCUUGCCCGAGACAACUGCAGAUAGCUAUGGCAUUCGCCCACAGAUUGUGGGAAUGUUGCCUAAGUUCUUUGGACUUCCACGGGAAGAUCCAUAUCAGCACCUCAAUAAGUUUCUGACCGUUCUCAAUACUUUUAAGGAGAAACAUUUGUCUGAGGAGGAAGUUAGCUUGAGAUUGUUCCCCUUUUCUCUUAAGGAUAGAGCAUCUCACUGGUUACAUGGCCUACCUUCUAAUUCUAUUAAAACCUGGGCUCAACUAAGUAAAGAGUUUUUAACCAAAUUCUUUCCUAUUUCCAGAACUAAUGACAUAGUUGAUGUCAUAAGAAGUUUUUGGCAGAAAGAGGGCGAGGUAUUCUUUGAUGCAUGGGAGAUGUUUCAAGACCUAUUUCUUCAGUGUCCACACCACAGAGUUGAUGACACAAAAAAAGUUAGGAUCAUAUAUAGAAGCCUUAAUUAUACAUCUAGAAACUUGAUUGAAAGCAUGAGCGGUGGAGAAUUCCAUGAUUAAUCCACCGCCAAGGCUCGGGCAUUCCUUGAAAAGAUUGCUAAUAAUAGCCAACAAUGGGACUUACCUGGACCAACCCUGAGAAACACUACCCUGGACUCAUAUGAUAAACCUAGAGGCAUGAAUGAGGUCAAACCUGACCCUGAGCUUAAAACUUUACUUCAUGGUUUAGUAAAAAAGGUAGAAGCACUUGAGGUGUCCUUAAAGCCCACAUCACCUGUUAUGAGUGCCUCCACUCUCCAAUGUACUGCUUGUCAUGACCAGACCCAUACUGCCGUGUUUUGCCCUCUCCUUUAUAAUUCACCAGAAACUGAGGAAGCCCGUGCGUUCACUUACGCCGGGCAGACCAACUUUACUAAGGGCAAUGCCACGUACCCAUACAUGGA
rnacentral:lncRNA from 1 species